UCCUUUUCCAUCCUGCGUCUGAUGUUUAUGAACUUCUGUGGAAGCUUAUUCUUCUUGCUGCCUCCUGGGGAGUUUCUAUUUUUCUCUUGUUCGUCUGGAGGACCGUCCUUGCUGUAAAGCCUCCAGUGUGUCAAGUUACUUUAAAGCAGAUGACUGAGCAGAGCAAGAAUUUGGAGAAUGAAAACAGAGAACUUGCAGAAAAUAUAUCUGCUUGGGUGCAGAAGACCAACAACGCAAAGAAAUGCUUAGAGGAGGCCAUCAGGCAAAAGAAGCUGCCCUCUGAGAAAGCACUGAAGUUUAAGCCAGGUGUUUCGAAGACCAGAUCUGAUGAUUCGAUGCAGUGAGCUGUGACAACUGGGGAC